AAAUACCCAACGACGUUCCCUCCGAAAUACCGUUCUCUAUGAGUCGUGUAGUAUGUACUUUUACUCUAAAAUCAAAAUCAAGCCAGUUUUACUUACUCUGCGCAAGCAUUGUUUUUGCUUGUUACCCGGUAGCCGGACUGUGACGGUACAUGCGGGUAUUACGUCCUGUUAAGCGCAUCUUCCGUGCGGGGUGGCAACGUGAAAACUGACCGUCCGCGGCCGUCCGGGUUGAUCUGGGGAAGAAAAAAAAACCCCCCCAUCUUCCGCGGGACGAAAAAUACGUAUUAAAAG